GAUGAACGCUGGCGGCGUGCCUAAUACAUGCAAGUCGAGCGAACGGACGAGAAUCUCGCUUUUCUGAUGUUAGCGGCGGACGGGUGAGUAACACGUGGCUAACCUACCUAUAAGACUGACAUAACUUCGGGAAACCGGAGCUAAUACCGGAUAAUAUUUUGAACCGCAUGGUUCAUAAGUGCAAGACGUUCUUGCUGUCACUUAUAGAUGGAUCCGCGCUGCAUUAGCUAGUUGGUAAGGUAACGGCUUACCAAGGCAACGAUGCAUAGCCGAUCUGAGAGAGUGAUCGGCCACACUGGAACUGAGACACGGUCCAGACUCCUACGGGAGGCAGCAGUAGGGAAUCUUGCGCAAUGGGCGAAAGCCUGACGGAGCAACGCCGCGUGAGUGAUGAAGGUCUUCGGAUCGUAAAACUCUGUUAUUAGGGAAGAACAUAUGUAUAAGUAACUGUGCACGUCUUGACGGUACCUAAUCAGAAAGCCACGGCUAACUACGUG
rnacentral:rRNA from 1 species